rnacentral:rRNA from 1 species
GAGUUUGAUCCUGGCUCAGAGCGAACGCUGGCGGCAGGCUUAACACAUGCAAGUCGAACGGGCACCCUCGGGUGUCAGUGGCAGACGGGUGAGUAACACGUGGGAACGUGCCCUUCGGUUCGGAAUAACUCAGGGAAACUUGAGCUAAUACCGGAUACGCCCUUCUGGGGAAAGGUUUACUGCCGAAGGAUCGGCCCGCGUCUGAUUAGCUUGUUGGUGGGGUAACGGCCUACCAAGGCGACGAUCAGUAGCUGGUCUGAGAGGAUGAUCAGCCACACUGGGACUGAGACACGGCCCAGACUCCUACGGGAGGCAGCAGUGGGGAAUAUUGGACAAUGGGCGCAAGCCUGAUCCAGCCAUGCCGCGUGAGUGAUGAAGGCCUUAGGGUUGUAAAGCUCUUUUGUCCGGGACGAUAAUGACGGUACCGGAAGAAUAAGCCCCGGCUAACUUCGUGCCAGCAGCCGCGGUAAG